CUCAUUGAAAGUGAUCCAGUACUUCACUCUAUCUCCGAACGCUUUGAAACAAGUGAAUGCAUAACGCUCAAAAUCAUCCCUGCACACUUUUCUUAGCAUUUCAUUUUGUCUUCAUGAUCACAUUUUCAGCCAAAGAUGAUAUACUUACACGACUUGUCUGCUCAGCCAUCCUUCAUAUCUGUCUUCUAAAGCUUGUGGGAGAUCCCAGUGAUACAAUGUCACAUAAGGUUUGAUUCCUUUGGCUAAAAGCGUGUCUAUGAGAGUGUUGUAGUACUUAAGUCCAUCUGGGUUUACUUCCCCUGUUCCAUCUGUUCAAACGUUUGAAACUCAGUGAUACACUACUCUUAGGCUUAGCACAGCUUAAUGAAUUAGACUUACUAGGGAAUAUUCUAGUCCAAGAUAUAGAGAAUCUGUAAGCAUCCAUUCCCAGAUCUUUCAUAAGAUCUAUAUCACUCUGUGAAAGCAAAAAAAAAUCAGAAAAAGUGUUCUUGCUUGUUAGAUUCUCUCAUUUAUUUAUCCUGUUGCGUCUUAUCUCAGAUUUGUUUGGACGUGGUUGCUCUAUGGAGAAGCAACCUUACUUUUUUUUUAUCUUCAAGUAUAAGUCAACUUAUGCUUCUAUUUUAGGAAAAACAUACAUACAUGGAAUCUAUGAUAUUGAUCAACCGUAGUAUCCGCAUUGCUGAAAUCCAAUAUCUUUCCUGUUGAUCAAUAACAAAUAAACAUUAAAAUUGGACUUUUCUGGGUUCUCUGUAACUUUUUGUUUGAUACCUGGUUUCUUGGUGAAAGUGUCCCAUAUGCUAUCUCCUUUGUUUCCUUCAUUCACAGCUCCUUCAAACUGGUUUAUUGCAAGUAAGUGUUUGUGGUUUGAUCAAAAUAUUGAUCAUUUGAAUCUUUCUUAAAUCAGUUUGUUGAAGAAGGAGAAGAAUGUCACCUGGUAAGCUGAAGAAGCUGUCCCGAACACAAACCCAUCUGGAAAACUCUCUCUGGUAAUAGAUUCCGAUGAAACUUGCUGACGAGACGCGAUGAAGACCAGAUACAGAACCAGGACGAGU
rnacentral:lncRNA from 1 species